rnacentral:rRNA from 1 species
UGGGGAAUUUUGGACAAUGGGCGAAAGCCUGAUCCAGCAAUGCCGCGUGUGUGAAGAAGGCCUUCGGGUUGUAAAGCACUUUUGUCCGGAAAGAAAUCCUUGGCUCUAAUACAGUCGGGGGAUGACGGUACCGGAAGAAUAAGCACCGGCUAACUACGUGCCAGCAGCCGCGGUAAUACGUAGGGUGCAAGCGUUAAUCGGAAUUACUGGGCGUAAAGCGUGCGCAGGCGGUUUGCUAAGACCGAUGUGAAAUCCCCGGGCUCAACCUGGGAACUGCAUUGGUGACUGGCAGGCUAGAGUAUGGCAGAGGGGGGUAGAAUUCCACGUGUAGCAGUGAAAUGCGUAGAGAUGUGGAGGAAUACCGAUGGCGAAGGCAGCCCCCUGGGCCAAUACUGACGCUCAUGCACGAAAGCGUGGGGAGCAAACAGGAUUAGAUACCCUGGUAGUCCACGCCCUAAACGAUGUCAACUAGUUGUUGGGGAUUCAUUUCCUUAGUAACGUAGCUAACGCGUGAAGUUGACCGCCUGGGGAGUACGGUCGCAAGAUUAAAACUCAAAGGAAUUGACGGGGUC